UAGAAGCCGAUGAAGGACGUUACUAACGACGAUAUGCUUUGGGGAGCUGUAAGUAAGCUUUGAUCCAGAGAUUUCCGAAUGGGGAAACCCAGCAUGAGUUAUGUCAUGUUAUCGAUAUGUGAAUACAUAGCAUAUCAGAAGGCACACCCGGAGAACUGAAACAUCUUAGUACCCGGAGGAAGAGAAAGAAAAUUCGAUUCCCUUAGUAGCGGCGAGCGAAACGGGAAGAGCCCAAACCAACAAGCUUGCUUGUUGGGGUUGUAGGACACUCUAUACGGAGUUACAAAGGACGACAUUAGACGAAUCAUCUGGAAAGAUGAAUCAAAGAAGGUAAUAAUCCUGUAGUCGAAAAUGUUGUCUCUCUUGAGUGGAUCCUGAGUACGACGGAGCACGUGAAAUUCCGUCGGAAUCUGGGAGGACCAUCUCCUAAGGCUAAAUACUCUCUAGUGACCGAUAGUGAACCAGUACCGUGAGGGAAA
rnacentral:rRNA from 1 species